GUCAGAAAAGAAAAAAACAACAACAAGGGAAUAAACCCUAAACGAUGCCCCUCCCUUCUCCGUCGCCUUGAAAGCCAGAACUCUCCUCUCUCUCGUUCCGAUUCGGACAGAGUAGAGGAUGGCUCCAAUGGCGCGCAAAGGUAAGAUUCUUCUUCCCUUUUCUCUUUUAUUUUGUAUAUAUUCUAUUACAUAUAAUUAAUAGCAAACAGAAAAGGAAAGAAAAGCAACCGAAAAAAAGAAUAGUAGAGAGAAAGAAGAAAACCUUCUCUUUUUUUUUGUAUUGAUCUUUUUUUGUUUUUGAUACAGUCUCUGUGUGUUCCUUCGUUCGGUUUACAAUCGAUUUUAUAUCGAAACUACAAAAUAAAGAAAAAAGAGAAAAAUCUCAUUCUUUUUCGCUAUUUUAUCUUCUUCCUUUUUUGCUGCUUUGGGCUUGUUGUUUGCUGCAGUAUGGGUACGGAGACGCGUGACGUGGCUCGGCGCGUACGAAGGCAGAGGCUAGCGUGGAGCGGCUCGGAGGCGUGGCUCGUGGGGCCGAGGGAAAACCCUGGUGGCUGCGGCGCUGGAGGCAUUCUGGAAACCCUCGGGGUUUCUGAAAAUUAUUCAAAUCGGGCCAUAGUGUAUUGGGCCUAGGGUUUUGGGUAUGGUUGUAUUUGGGUUUGAUUUUGGGCUAGUAAUUUAGGUUUAGGUUUGGGCCGUGUUGAUUUGGUCUGUACGAUUUUUGGCUUGUAACUAUGGACUGAUAUUAUUUGUAAAUGGACUUUUACUAUUUUUACUUUUAUGUUGAUUUUAUUUAUUUUUAGUGGGCCCGGGUCAAAAUUGGGCAUUACAAUCUUUAUUAAAUUGGUUGAUGUUUGUGAACUCAAGUGGCCCAAACCAUUUUUCCCCAAAUGACUUCAAUAUAGAUAUUCCCUUAGGGGUCUGGGUUCAUAAGCACACUCUUGAGAAUACAGAGCCAUUAGAAAGUAAUUGGUUAGGUUGAAAUAGGUUAAUUGCAUGUGAACUUGAUCCAACUUUAUAUUAAAAUUUGUUGAAGUAGAUUUUGGGGUGUAUAAGAAAGGAAAGAACCAAUUUUUGUAUUGCGAAGUUAAUCCAGAAUACUAAAUAAUCCCUACAAAAUAUAUAUAGACAACUUCAGUUCUGCACUUCCAAAAAUGGAUUUAAUUCAACUGAUUUUACCAUUCCAUGGGAUUUCAUGCAAAUUGGGAAUAGAGUUAAAAAGGGCAGGCAUUCUCAUUUAACUUUGUUGACCCUAAAAUUUACACACAUAAACACUAAUUCCAUGUCGGUUAAUUUGGUUGUGGAUAAAAAAAAAGAGCAGUAUUAAAAAGAGUUUUUAUUAUUUAUUUCAAGAAAAAAGCAAAAAUCCUACUUUUUCUUCCUUUUCUCCGGGACCCAUGUGAAUGAAAAAACCCUCACUUUUUAUUAAAUACGUAUAUAUAUUUGUGUAAUCACAUGCAAGCUUUGAUGUAGUUCUCGUGAAAAUGGAGUUUUCUAGUUUAUGAGUGUUAAUGUUGGCUCAAAAACGAUCACACUUGGAAAUUCGUAUGGUAGGAGUAGACCAUCUCGUGAGUAACCAUAAAAACCUGAUCCAACAAUAACUUUCAUCAAGGCAUCCCAAGUGUCAUUACAUUCCUAAAACUGCCUAGUUCUCCACUUUACCUGACUUCACUCAUUCUCGGUAGCUUUUCUUCCAUUUUAUACUUUAACAUUGGAUGUAGUUAAAACUACCAGCCGCCUCCCUCUGCCACUUUACUUAUUCCUAUUUAACCAUUUUAGUUUAAAUUAUUUUAAAUUUCAAACCAAGUUAUUAAUGAGUCUGGAACAGCUGUUUUUCAUUAGGUUUAAAUCAUUUCGAGUUAUUUUAAGUUAUUUAAUUUGAGUUUACAUCUUUUCAAAUUAUUUGUUAGAUAAUUUUGGGUGCAAAUCAUUUUAAAUUAUUUGUAGAGUAACUUUUUGUUCAUAUUAUUUCAAUUAUGAAUUAACUUUUUAUGAUUAAAUCGAGGGUGAAAAUCUACAUUUUUCCGGACCUAUCUCUCUAUUUCUCUCUCUUAUUAAUUGCAAUUUUGAGGCCGCGUUAAUAGUUUCAGCAGUCCAUGUACAUUUCCCCAAAGACUUCUAGAGAAAAAUUACAGCAUCUAUAUAUAACUUAAAUCACUCCAAUAAAUAACUCCAUUAUUUUUGGGUUUCCCCCAUGGCACCGAAUAAAGAAAACAACACAGCUAACUCCCAAACUCACCCCAACAAUGGUACUGUCAACAAGCCUCGACGUCUUUCAAUGGAAAGCCUCCAGAGAACGAUAUCUGAUAUAUCGUUUGAGCUAACCAAAGAAGCCAUCGACGCAACGCAGCUUCCGUCCAUAUCCGAAGUCGAGGAGGCCAGCUGCGAAUGCUGCGGCAUGUCCGAGGAGUGCACUCCCGAGUACAUCAACCAAGUCCGUGACAAGUUCUCAGGGAAACUGGUGUGUGGGCUUUGUGCGGAAGCAAUCAACGAAGAGGUCGUGAAAAACGGAGGCAAAAGGGAAGAAGCUUUGAACGAGCAUAUGAGUGCUUGUGUGAGGUUCAACCGGUUCGGUCGGACUCACCCAGUGUUGUACCAAGCCGAGGCAAUGAGAGAAAUAUUGAAGAAGAGCUCGGGAGUUCGGGCUAAGUCAAUGAGUCCCAGAGACAAAAGCGGUCCCAAGAAGGGUGGUAUCGCGAGGAGCUCGAGUUGUCUGCCGGCUUUCGCCAAGGAGAUUCGUGACCGAGCAAUGGUGAACUAGGGGUCUUUGUAUGAUAUAUAAUAUUAUACGUAUACUAAAACUUAAAAUCGAAAGAUUUAAGUUUUAGAUUGGUAGGAAAAAAGUAACUCGUUAUAUGAUAGUGGGACGUUGUAGGCAUAAUUUGUAACUGUGUUGUGAAUAUGUUUUAUUGUAAUUAUCGUAUUUCUUAUUAUAUGUAUACUUUUUUGUUUUUAAAUAUAUAUUUUGUUGUUUGAUUAGUUAUAUUAUAUCUCCCAAAAGAUAAUGAAUAUGCAAUUUAAUAAUUUCAUAGAGAUAUGAUUAAAGAGGUAAUUGCUUUAAACAUCUAUGAUUUCAAUUUAAUUUUGACUCUUAAACUUUAAAACAUUCUAAUUGUAUCUUCAAACUAUUGAUUUUAUAUUAAUAAACUACUUUCGUUGUUAAAAUUAAUUUAACUGUUAAAUGAGAUGUCAGGUCUUAUAUAAUAUAAUUUAAUGGAUGUUGUAAAAAGUUUGGUUUCGAGUUUUUCAAAUUUUUUAUAGAAACUAUGUUCACUCUAUCUUUUUUUCUAUUUUGUUUUAUUUUUAGUUUUAAAUUUUAAAAGUUAUGCGACAAUAUUUCACUUUUCUUUAAAAAUUUUAUUUUAAAUUAUGUCAUAUAAAAUUUUAAAUAUUAUUUAAUAAUUAAAUUAAUAGUUUUAAUAAUUAAAAAUUUUGAUUGAUAUGACAUCUAUAACUGUACGAAGAGAAUGGCGAAUGGAACAAUUAAGAGUAACCAUAACUAUAUUUAGAAAAAAAAUCAGCCUGAUAAACAAAUAUGAGUAAAUAAAUUCGAAUAAUUCUUUCAAAUUAAAAAAGAAAUCCAUUAAAAUUGGUAUGGCGGAAUUUGAGUGAAGCUGAAGCAAGAAUCUGUUUCUUUGAACCUUCAUUGGGGGUCAUAAAUCAUGGAAAAGUCUCAUUGGCCCAAGAAAACAUGAAUCUAAGACCUGACAUGGCAUUUGACGGAGUGUGGCCGAAAAAAGACAAAAAAAAAAGGCUGAGAUUGGUCCACACAGUCAAAUUAUUUUCAAAAUUUGGAGUUUUUGGGGUUUUUUUAAUAAAUAACCUAAAAAAAUUAUGAAAAUAUCUUAGUAUUAGAUUAUUUAUAAAAAUAACAUUGUUUCAAUAGUAAAAUGGGUGCCUCAACUUUCCAUGGCGUACCACCCUAAAAAGUAACUCAAUCAUUGUUUUAUGAUUACAAAAAUAAUCAAAUGAAAAACAAUUAUUUUUUUUGGUGCCGUCACUUCCCAAGACGGCACCUAUAUAAAUAUUUGUAUUUUUAUGCGUACUUCCACUAUUAAACAAAAAAAAUAUUUUUUUAUUAUUUUUGGUGUCGCCUCCUUUAAUGGAGGCACAAAGUUAGAUUAAAAAAAUUGUUUUCUGGUGUUGCCUCCUUCCAUGGAGUGACCAAUAUUUGUAAAAAAAAAAUUUUGUUGAUGACUACAUGAGAUGUGGCGGCACCAAUAUUAUUUUUGAAAUUUUUUUGUCCCGCCACUUUAUGUGCUGUCACAAAAAAUGGUAAAAAAAAUUCUCUUGGUCCCUACUAAAGAUGUGGUGGCACCAGUAUAUUUUUUUUGAAUUUUUUCCCACCACUUCAUCAUAUAAAGUCACUAAAAUGGAUAAAAAAUUUAUUUCCCAGGUUCUUACACCAGAUGUGGUGGCACCAGGUAAAUUUCUUUUAAUUUUUAGGUGUCACUUGUAAAAAUAGCGGCACCAAAAUCAAUGUUAUAUAAGCCCCCAUUCUGGGCAUGGUUUAUUAUAUGUGCUUAUUGCUAAUUGCUAAAGAGAAAAGAAAAAAAAAAAGCAAUCCUUUUUUUUGUUGGAGUGUGCAGCAUAAAAAUUGUAUAAAAAAUGAAUAACCAAAUUAUUGUUUAUGUUAAUUUUGAUGGGUCAUUUUAGAAUGAGCGAUUAGUUGUGUAUUUGAAUAUCGUCAGAAGGUUGGAAUGAGGUUCGAUAAAAAUAUAGGGGGUGUAAAAAAUGAAAGAAAUGAUUGGUAUCACAAUAGCUCGACGUUGUGGGAGGAAAAUGUCCCAACUAUUCUACAAAUUUUUUUUCCUUCAAUCCGUUGAAAUUUCAACAGAUGAAACUUGUAGACGAAGAAGACUUUUUACAAUGGUGGGACUUUAUUGCUUGAAUGGGGACAACAACACUGAACCAAUUCCAUUGUUUGCCUAGUUAGUUGACCCUGAGCCCGUUUAAAAUGUCGUUCCAUUAAGUCAACACCAUGGGUUUGACUUUGAUCUCAAUGUUAGAUGGACAAAACAAUCGUGUUAUGGAAGGCCAUCAACAGGGCUGAAAAUACAUAGUAUGGGUCGACAACGUAUACUUACUCAAUUUCGACCAGCCAUUUAAAGAUACAUCUUGAGGUGAGGGGCACUGAUGCAAACGAUGAAGAAGAGUCCGAUAAUGAUGUUCAUUUUCACCACGAUGGUGAAGAAUAUAGUGACCUUGAUCAAGAUGAAGUCUCGGAUAAUAUCAACAAUGAAGGCGUAGAGGAAUGUGAAAAUCUACAACCCUUUUCGGUUGGGCACUCGAGUCGUGAGAUUAUUUUACGAAAUGACCCUAGGGCAGACAUGUUGAGUGUUGACCCCGAUGCAACAUCAAUAUUUAAGUUCCUCGAUGCAACAUCAACCUGCUCAUUGGUUGAUGGCAUCUUCAGAAACGAAAGAUUUAUUCGUAAGGCAACAAUUCCCAAAUAAGCAGGACUACUUACAUGCCAUCAAGCGGUACAACAUGAAGGUGUCACUGGACUACAAAGUCAUCAAGCUGACACUGACAUUAUAUGUUGGACAAUUUUGGAAGUCUGGGGAAGGUUGCCAAUAGCAGAUUCGAGUUGCAUUGGGACAGAGGACUCAACAACGGUGCAUUCAGAAACUUGAAGAGCCCCAUACAUGCACGUCCGCACGUAUGACACAAGAUCAUCACAAACUAGAUGCGAAAACAAUCUACAACUACACCAUGUCGGUGGUGAAAGACAUGCGUACCAUACAAGAGUCUAUCAUCAUUGUUGAAAUGUAAGCCUUGUUCCAAUAUCGGGUGUCGUAUAGCAAAGCAUGGUGGGCGAAACAGAUGGCGAUGGAGCAGUUGUAUGGUGAUUGGGAUGCGUCGUACAAUGAACUUUAAGGAUGGAUAGUCACGAUGCAACAAUACAUGUCAGGUACUAUCGUGUAGUUACAAACGCGAUCUUAUUAUAACACAGAUGGCUAACAUCAACCGGGGAGAAGAGUUUUUCAUCAGAUAUUCUGGACAUUCGAUCCAUGCGUUUGGACAUUUGUACACUACAAGCCGCUUGUGCAAGUUGACGAUACCUGAUUAUAUGGAAAAUAUACCCAGAUACUUCUUAUUGCGGUUGCACAAGACAGGAAUUGGAAUGUCUUACCGAUUGCGUUUGCGAUCGUAAAAUAAGAGGACAUGAAAUCGUGGGAAUUUGUAUUAAUAAACUUGUAGAGUCAUGUUGUUAGAGAAGACGACAUUUGUAUUAUCUCUAAUAGAUUGAAUGGGCUGAUCGUUGUGAUUCAACAAUACGGGGUUCUGUAGAGAUCCGUCUACUGUAUCUGUCACAUCGCGGUUAAUUUUUACCAAAAGUUCAAGAAUACAGACUUGCGUAAAGAUUCGGUGAAAAUAGGUAAAUUACCGAAUCACAUUAUUAUUUAAAUAUCUUGAAUACAUUUGGGGUAUAUAAUGAAAAUGUAAUAUGUCAUAUCUUAAUACAUAUGUAGGGUACGAGCGAGAUAGAACCACAUCGUUUCAGGGAAAUAAUGGCGAGGCUUGAGGCUGAUAUGCACGACAUGAUUAAUCCUUCUUUUUAGGAAUUUCUGAGUACCAUGGAGCUUUAGAAAUGGGCUCAAAGUCUCGAUUAUAGGUCUCGAUAUGACCAUACGACCACCAACCUCUUGGAGGGGAUUAACUCUGUCUUGAAGUGUACAUAUCAUCUACCAAUUUCUGUAGUUUUCUCAGCUACGUUCUACAAGCUCGCAACAUUGAUGCUGAGAAUGAGACUGAGACAACCGAAGCAGUUGGAGGCAGGAUAUGUGUUCAUGGAGCAUGUACAAAAGACAAUGGAUGUGAACACCUAAAAAGCAAGGUUGAUGAAUGUAGAACUAUAUUCACGUCACAUGAAAUUUUUUUGGGUAACUGAACACAUCAGUUGUCGAGAUGGUGUACUGGUUAAGUCUUAUGGUGUUGAUCUCCGAUAGAGGCAGUGUUAGUGUGUAAUGUUCUAGGCCCUUCGAUAUCUGUGCACACACGUUAUUGCUGCAUGUGUAUGGGCCAAUGUGGAUUGUCAACAAUAUAUCAAUGACGUCUACAUGUUGGAACGUACAUUACGCAUUUGAUGUAACAACUUUUUUAUGUUGUGGGAUGUCACGACAUAGGAAGUGCCCCUUCCUGAGUCUGAGUUGAUCUCGGACAAAAGGCUUCGUAGGAAACCCAAAGGUCAACCGCAGGUCACUCGAAUUCACAAUGACAUGGACAUAAGAGAGUCGUUGGGACAAAAACAUUGUUGAAUUUGCAGAAUUGUCGGUCACAAUCGGAACAAGUGUCCAUAUCAAAACUACCAUCCCGGACAAUCCUCAAGGUCGGAGGGUUUAUAAAAAUUGAAGAGCCCCAUUCAUUCAAAUUAAAAUUAAAACAUAUGAUAAUAAUUUAUUUAUCACUUAAUGCAUUUAAUCCGAUUACUGCACUUCUUACACAUUUUUUUAAGAGUUUUAUUCUUUCUUUUGUUUGGGGUCAUUGCAAAAUUAAAAUCUUGUUCAAUUUAUGAUAUCCAUAAAAUUAAUUAAUUAUAGAUGACCGUCCACUUAAUACAUAAUUUAUGGAAAUUAAUGUCAUUCUAUUCAAGUAUUAACACAAAUUACAUACAAUAUUUCACCAAUAACUUUUCCACACUCAAAAUACAUUCAAGCUUGGAGUUGUUCCCUAGGUGUGCUGUGGGGUGUACCGUUGAGGUGGCAUUCUUUACCGUCGGAGGUGAAGGUCGUUAUCAUCAUUCUCCUCGUGUUGCCUCAAACCUUGGGGUGUAUUAAACAAAUCUGAGAAAUCAAAUCCGCCUAAUGAUUGGUAUUCAAAGGUGUAGUAUAUUGGGUGUCCGAGGGUGCCAAUGGAAAUAUAUCCUCUAUCAUUAUUGAUUGUGGUUGCCCAAAAUUACUAUCACAACCACCCAUCUCCGGGCUAUAAGGGUCACAACUAGAAACUUGCAUCUUAGGACGAUAAGAAUUGGCCUCGGACUGUGAAUGUAGUUGCAAAUGUUUAGGAUCAGGGUCGACAUUGGGGUGUGCUUGGGUAGCAAGGUUUCGAUGGCCUCGACGACGACGUGGUUGAUUCGAUCCACGCCGGUGUAUGUGUCUCGGGACUACCAUCAGUUUCCCUCCAAAUAGAUAUAGCACCCCGUUCUCCAAGUACUAUCAUUGGUACUCAAUAGAGGGGCUGAAGUCAAACAAACACGUUUCCAAUCAAGGCCUACACUGCAACCGAGCAUUUCGAAAUACGAUAAAUUGUUAAUGCUCGACUGCCUAAUUCUUUGACUCCUUUCCCCUCUUAUUGAUACCAUGGACAGUGUCGAAGAUGAUGGGGUUGUCCAGAACAUGUUUGCAGCCGAAUUGCUGAAGAACUUGAUCACCGUUAUACCACUCAAUGGUUGAGAAAUUCAAUACCGGAGCAUUGAUGCACCACACGGCUGAAUGUGCAUGAGCCCACUACGGAAUAACGACGACAAUGUCCGGAGCGGAAUAAGGCAUCCACAAAAACUGCAAAUAUUUAACAUAGUUACACAAACUUAAAGAAAUGAUGUAAUCAAUUAAAAAUCAUGAUACGAUCUUGAUUGAAAUUUUUUAUAAAAAUCCCACCUCCUCUCUGGAGCAAGCCUUGACCAUUUGAUGAUACACCCCAAGCUGUACGAACCUUCCUAUAGCGAGGCACGUAGACCAUCUACCAACAAAAAAAUUAACAAAUAAAUUAAUGCAAAAAAUAUUGAAUUGUUGAUUGGGUUAUUCUUGAUAUUUUACUUACCUAUUUACAAUUGGCUACACUGGUGGUUGAUGGCUCAUUGAUGUGAAAAACGACAUCCUAUAAAUGCCCAUUAUUGCAACAGUAUUAGACAACCACCUAUUUCUUGUGUAUCGUGCUUUGUAGCCCCUCAUAGCUCACGGUACAAUGUUGCCAAUACUAUCAACCCUCAACUAUACUCCCAAACGGCGCGUAAAUCUGACAAUAGGGGUAAGUACAUAAUGUGGACUCUAUUAUUGUUUACGUCUGGCAUCAAUACCCCCUAUCAGUUGCAUAGUAAAUGCUUGAGCAGCGCACAUAAGCUCUAACUCUGCGGCACUAUUCAAUACAUUUUCAAAAUUUUGUUUUAACCAGCAACAUUUCAAACUGGUAAAUUUAUUAUCCCCACAACCCAACGAUCGACCAAGCAAACAGUCGCACAAAAUUGCAGGUUUGGCCACCUUACUGAAACCAACGAUUGCAUAACAAUCCACUGGUAGCUCGAGUUGUAGUGCGACGUCCUUGAGCGUGAUGGUGCACUCCCCACACAGUAAAUGGAAUGUGUGGGUCUCUGGCCACCACCUUUCAACCAAUGCGGAUAUUAAGUUAGGCCGCGACUCAAACAUCUCGAUUAAACCAACUGAUCCAAAUCUAACCAUUUCCAACUAUGGCAUUAUACGGUUGUCAGGAUGAUAGCUCGACCCAUAGCUACGCACCCUUAAAACGCGAUACUCAUGCUGUCAAUUAAAAAAAAUGAUCAACUAAAAAAUAAUUUUGCAGAUUUAGCAUUUCAACUUCUCAGUAAGACAUAAUUAACUCUUUUACCUUAUUGAUCUUUCGUACGUGUGAUCGUUUGAUUUGAUAAGUGUACUCAUACCUUAAAUACAAAAAACUGAUAUAACUUAAAUAUAAAAUAAUAAAUAAAUGAAUAUAACAUAUCAAUUAUAUUAAUAAACUCAAAGAACCAAUUAUAAAAAAUAUGCUCAUACCUUAAAUACAAAAAACCGGUAUAACUUAAACACGAAAUAAUAAAUAAAUUAAUAUAACAUACAAUUAUAUUAAUAAACAAAAUUCCCCAAACAUUAAAUAAACUCAACUAACCAAUUAUAAAAAAUAUGCUCAUACCUUAAAUACGAAAAGAUUCUCCAAAAACAUUAAUAAAAAAAUUUAACAAACCUAAAUACAAACUUAAAGCUAAUAAAACACAACAGCAAAAAAUAACAUUUCAAGUAAAUAUGAAAAACUAAUAUAAUAUGCCACAAAAACAUUAAUAAAACAAAUUAAUCAUACUUUCAAUACAAACCUAAAACUAAAAAAAUACAAUAUGGGGGUACCAUUUCCAUUUCAUUAGGGAGGGAAGAAGAGAAAAGAAAUAAAGACGGAUAGGCUUGUGACCCGUCAAUCUUUUUUUAUUUUAUUUUAUUCAUUUCUUCAUUUUCCCUUACAUAACAAGUAAUUUUUUAGUCACUCACUAACAUCUUCUUAUUAAUUCGUUUUUUUAUUUUUAUUAAUACAUCAACAUUUUCAAUUAAAAUUUCAUAUUUUUUCCAUUUCCAAAUAUUAUUUUUUUCCUCAAUCCUAUUAUUAUAUUCAAAUUUCUUUAUUUAACUCCCAAUCAUAUAUAUAUAUUGUAUAUUUGUUCUUUUUUCACUAUUUUUCUUUUGAUUAAAUGAAAUCUUACAUUUUUUUAAAGUAAAAAAAUAAUUGUUAAAGCAAACAUAUUUUUAUUUCUGAAUAACAUUUCAAAUAUUACAAUAAUGAUAAAACUUCAAUUGAAAUCAUCAUAUUAUAGAGUUGAUAAUCUAGUAAAAUCAAUAUUUUUCCCGAUUCCAUCAACUUUUGCUUGAAUCAGGUUGAUCAGGAACCCCCAUAGUAUUCAUCUUUGGUUGCUCUUGGGGUACGACAUUCUGUCGGCACCUCCCCUGCCUGAAAGCACUUUUCACACCGACGCUUCUCCCUUGACAGCAUAACCAAUUUGCGGUCGUAACCGCGUAACCACUACCAACUAAAAUCCCCAUCUCCCUUAGUGUUAAAUGGGGUAUUUUGAUAAGGGAUGGACUAUUAACCGUGUUAUCACUACCAACAAACUCUCUUAUCCGCAUAACUACUACCCUAAAAAUGACAUAUUUUACGUGUCGUUUAUAUAUAACGGUCAUGACAAAAUAAUUUUUUUUGUUAAAGAACACCAUAAUAAUAAAUAUCUCCCUUCCUUCAACAAAACACAUUUUUUUUCUUUUAACAUAACAAAGAAAAAAAUUAAUACCUCUACUUGUGUUAAGGUUGGGGGUAUAUAUAGUUGAUGGUGUCGCCACAUUUAUAGUAGGGACUAGGGAAAAAAUUUAAACAAUUUUGGACACACCAUAUGAAGUGGUGGCACCAAAAAAUUCCGAAAAUAAUAUUGGUGCCUCCACAUCUCAUGUAGUCAUUAUAGAAUGUUUUUUUACAAAUAUUGGUCACUCCAUGGAAGAAGGCGGCACUAAAAAACAAAUUUUUAUUCCAAUUUGGUGCCUCCAUUAAAGGAGGCAGCACCAAAAAAAUAAAAAAAUAUUUUCAUUUAACUAUGGAAAUACGAGUGAAAAUACAAAAAAUUUAUAUUGGUGCUGCCUUGGGAAGUGGCGGCACAAAAAAAUUAAUUUUUUUCAUAUUAUGAUUUUUGUAAUCAUAAAGCAAUGGUUAAGUUACUUUUUGGGGUGGUGAUGUCGUGGGAAGUGGAGGUACCCAUUAUUAUUGUAGAAACAAUGUCAUUUUUCUAAAUUACCUAGUACUAGGGUCAUUUUCAUAAUUUUUUUUAAUUUUUAUAGGUUAUUUAUCUAAACAAACCUGAGUUUUUUUAACUACUAUUUUGUUGAGUGUUGAUACAAAAUUUAGUUAAUCAUGGGCUAGGAUUAUUAAAGACACAUACUAUCUUUGGUAGGUAAUACAGUAAAACAAAUAUUCAAUAGUAGAACCUCCUCUUUAUAAGAUAUUAGAAAAUAAAGGUCAAACCUUAUUAUUAGUCUUUGUAUUCUGUAUAACUUAUGGAUUUAAUUAUUACAUUUUAAUUUGGUUAAAUUUAGUUUUAGUAUUUUUUUUAAAUUGUUCAAUUUUAAUCUUAAUUCUUUUUAAUUUUUGAAAUUUUAAUCAUGACUCAAAAGUAGCAAUUAAAUUUGUUUAGUUAAACUCUCAUAUUAGUCUUGUAGUAUAUAUAAAAUUGUAGAUUUAGUCCACGUUAACCAAUUGGAUCAUUCUUAGCUUAUACAUUUUUCUAAAUUUAAAAAUUUUACUCUUGAUACAAACAAUGUUAAAUCCAUUAAUUAGCUUCUUUGUGAGUAAUAUGUAUAAAUUGCAAGCUGACAUAAUAUUGCACAUAUGAUAAUAUGUUUGUCGCAUCAUAUUUUGGAAAGGCUUAACUAUAACAUUGGUUCCCAAACUAUAUUGUUUUUCUCAAUUAGGCACAUAAAUUUUUUUGGUUUAAAGUGGUACCUAAACUAUCAAUUUCGUCUCAUUUUAUUGAAAAAGUGUAAGAAGUCUAAUAAGAACAUGCCACAUAUCACGUUCUUAUUGGAUGGUAUCAUGUUUAGAGGGUAAAAUGAGACGAAAUUGAUAGUUUUGGUACCACUUUGACAAAAAAAUGUUUUUUUUUUUGCUCUUAAAAAAACUUUAGGUACCUAAGGGGAAGAAGUGGCAUGGUUUAAGGCUAAUUUUUUAUUUAAGCCUUUUGAAAAUAAUAGAACUUAAUGAAUUUAACAAAUACUGUUUGGCUAGGAUUGAAAUUUUAAAAUGGCUUAAACAAGAAAACGGUAACUAAACUAUACUAGUUUUCCCAAAUUGGUACCUAAACUAUUUUUUUUGUCAAAAUUGGUUCCUAAACUAUUAAAUCGUUACCCAUUUUACCCCAACUGUUAGUCCUGCUAGAAAAAAAAUUCAACCAAUCCCAACUUGCCACGUAGACAUUUAUUUAUUUUUUCAAAAUAUUAGUAAAACUCAUAAAUGCUUUUUAAAAUAGUUAAAAAAUUAAAACAUAUUAACUUAAAUUUAAACGACAAGUAAAAUAAAAAAAUUUCACUAACCCUAUUUCAUUCAAAAAAUUUGAGGAACCCUAUUUCAUUGAAAAAAAAAUUUAGCAACUCUCAUUCAAUAAACAAAAUUUCAGCAACGCACUUUACUUCAAAAAAUUCAUCAACCUUUGCAAUCACCUUCUGGGAACCUUUAAUCCCUUGUAGACUUCAACCCUUUGUAGAAUUGAUAGGAGGGUAAGUUUCAAGAACCAAUUUUUUUUACUUAAAACCUUGUUUGAUAGAAGAACUUUUUUUCUUCUUGGAUCCCUUGUUUGCCAUUUUUAUUAUUGAAACCUUUCUAAUUCCAUAAUUAUUUGAUUUUUAUUUUUGGCAAGCCAUAAAAUCCUAAUUGAUUUGGGCAAACCGAAUGAGUUGUAGAAAGGUAUGGUUUAGGCUUAAGCUAACGCUAUUUUUUAAUUGUUUUUAUAAUUAAUUUUUAUAAUCUAAUUUAUGUAAUUUUUUGGCAGAAAGUAGGUUCUUGAAAUUUUCAGUUAAAAAGUUGUAUUGGGUGCAGAAAGAAAAUUUCUUAAUUUUAAUUAUUCAUUGUUAAACCAUUAAUCUAUUUUUGUUAUUAUCUUUUUUUCCUCAUCUUGACUGAAUCAGUAUAUAUACCAAAUUACUUAACAAUGGGUUCUUGAAAUUUUAUAUUGAGAAAGUGGAACACACCUUUUAAGAGACAAAAGGCCAAAAAAGGUACCAUAUUUGUUGUAUAAUCUAAUUUAUAUUUUUUUUGCUAAUUAAUUUUGUUUAAGUAUGGUUUAGGUUGACUGUUUGAAAUAUUUGUUGAUUGUUGGUAAAUUAAUGGUAUCUUAUGUUUUUUUAAUUUACUUUUUUAAACUCAAGCUAUAGGGAAAAUGUCUCGGGUUAGUGUUGAUAGGGGUUCAAUUGAACUUGAGUUAAAUGGUGAGGGUGUUAGGCUUGAACCUGAGUUAGAGGGAGAGAGGGUUAGUGGUCCUACAAAGUUAAAUAAGGAAACUAUUGCUGCUAGUGAGGUUGAAGGAGUAAAUACUAAAAGGGUAAGUAGUGAUAUAAGUGAAGAUGCAAAUGAGGAUGAGGAUGAUAGUGACUUUCAAAGUAAUGAACCAAAAGAGGUAAGUACGGAAGGAUGGGUUAGUAAUGAUGAUGAUGAUGAUGAUGAUGAUGAGAUAGUGAAUAUUAGCAAUAAGUAUAGGGUUUUUAUAGAGAAAAAGAAAAAUAGGUCAGUGGGAGUUGAAGAUUUGGAGCUUGUUGUUAACCUAAGUGGCCUUCAGAAGGAUAAAAUAAGGGAGGUUAAUGGUGAGGGUAUUGGGGAUGAGACAGAUUAUAUAGGAUCUGAUGAUGUGGGUAGCUAUGAUUCAGAUUCUAAUGGUGAGCUAGUUUGUAGGAAAAGAAGGAAAAUUUGCUUUAAUGAGGGUAGUGUUGAGCUAAGAUUUAAGAUAUGAAUGAUAUUUGAGAGCCCUAAUCAAUUUAAGGAAGCCCUUUCAGCUUAUGCUAUCCACUAUAGAUUUGAUUUUAAAUUAGCUAGAAAUGAAAAUUUUAGGACAAGAGCUAAGUGCAAAGCUCAAUGAUGCCCAUGGAUGAUAUAUGUUGCCAAGGAUAAUGAGGAUGGAUGCUUUAAGGUCAAGACAUUUGAUAGUGAACAUACUUAUUCCAUAAUCUUGAAGAACAAAAAAGCAAAUUAUAAGUUCAUAUGGAAACACUUUUUUAGCAAGAUCAAGAUUAUCCAUAGGUUAAAGCUAUUUAAGAUGCAAAGACUAGCUAAGGAAGAGCUGAAAGUAGAAGUAAACAAGAAUGUUUGUCAAAGAGCUAGGUCUUGGGAUAUAGAACAUAUAAGAGGUAGCUUAGAGUACGAGUUUAACGAUUGAUUAUGUUUUUGCUUUGAAAAGUGUAAAUCCAAAUGGUAACUUUGACUUAUUAGUUGUGAGACCAAUUCCUACUGAGAACCCUAAGUUUAGGAGGUUAUAUAUUUGUUUCAGUACUCUAAAGGGUGGAUUUAAAAACUUUUGUAGACCAGUUUUCUCUUUAGAUGGUUGUUACUUUAAAGGGUCGUUUAAAGGAGAACUCUUAGCUGUUAUGGGUAGGGAUGGUAACAACAAAAUUUUCCUUUUAGCUUGGGUAGUUGUUGAGGCGAAGAAUAGGGAAUCUUGGGCUUGGUUCUUGAAACAUCUUCAAUCAGACUUGGAGAUGGGAGAUGGGAAAGGCUUCAUUGUAAUAAGUGAUAUGCAGAAGGUUGGAAAUUUCUAUAUAUUUUUUCUUUAUUUGACUACUGUUAUGUGUAUGAUAAUAUUAUAAUAAUCAAUUUUACUUCUUUUAAAGGGUUUUCUAGAAGAAAUGCCCUUGAUAUUACCACAUGUUGAGCAUAGAUUCUGUGCAAGACACAUGUAUGCAAACAGGAGGAAAGAGAAUAGGGGUGGUUAUUUACAUAAACUACUUUGGGCUUCUUGUAACUCAACAACUGAAGGUCUCUUUCAAAAAUAUACUGCAAGAACUGGUCAAUUAAAAGAAGUUGCUUUGGAAAGUUUGAUGAGGAAGGAACCAAAACAUUGGUCAAAAGCUUUUUUCAAAACUCAUUCAAAGUGUGAUGCAAUCAAUAACAACUUCGGUGAUGCCUUCAACUUCGCAAUUAUGAGAGCUAGAUUUAGAUCUAUCAUCCAUUUUUUUGAAGAUAUUAGACACUACAUCAUGAAUAGGGUAGUGCAAAAUAAGAAAAAGUGUGAAAAUUGGUCCAUUGAUUUAUGCUAAAAAAUAAGUAAAAAAAUUAAAGAACAUAAAAAUUUAAGUUCUUUUUGUCAUGUCUAUUGGAAUAGGCAAGAUGGUUAUGAGGUCGACUAUAAUGGGGAUACUUAUGUUGUAGAUAUUAGGAGUUGGAAGUAUACAUGUAGAUCUUGGGAUCUAAUAGGCAUUCCAUGCCCACAUGUUAUAUUUGUAAUUUUGUUUAGAGAACAAAGAGUUGAAGAAUAUGAAAGUGAUUAUUACAAAAGGGAUAUGUACCAAAUUUUAUACGAUUGUACAUUUCUCACUAUCCCAAGUGAGAAUUUCUAGAAGAACACUAGAAUGGGGUCGAUCGAUCCCCCUUUGAAAAGGAAGCUUAUUGGAAGACCCAAACAUAAAAGGAGAAGGGAAGAGGGUGAGACAUCGAAUAGAAGGAAGCUAUCCAAAAGAGGAAUGAAAAUGACUUGUUGAAGGUGUGGGAUAGUUGGUCGUAACUCUAAAACCAGUCCAACUCAAAACAUAUCAGUAAGCUUAUUUAAAACUUCUUAUUUUAUUUUAUACAUGUGGUUCUCUAAUCUUAUUAGACAUGACUUCAGUUACUCUUACCUUUCUUUGUAGCAAAUAGGUCAAAAUGAAGGAAUUGACUCACAACAGUAUCCCUCAACAGAGUAAUUGAUAGAUGAAAUGGUAUUGAAUGAUACAAACUUCACAAUUGUUAAUUUUUCACAUUUAUUCAACUCUUUUGUUGAUUUGUUCGUAGGUACCUCAGCGAACAAGUAGAAGGAAAGUUCGUACCUUAAGGAUGGAUAUAUCAACUACUUCUCACUCACAUCUUGAAACUAAAGGAAUGAGAAGUAAACCCUUUGGUGCAGGAGGGAGAACAAGAAUGCAAGACAUAGGCAUCUACACCAACAAUACAGCAGGAAUGCAAAUUCUUAAUGUAAAUGUCCUUAAACCCUCAAAACUUAAUUGUUACCACUUUGAUAUUGGUUUGUUUGAUUUAUAAAUUUUUCUUAGAAAAGAAAUCCUUUUUUGGCAGCCUAGAAGACGAGGGAAAAUGAUGAUAAAUAGGCCUCCUUAUUAAUCGCACCAACAUUCCCCCAAUUUGUUGCCUCUUCAACACUUACAUCCUCUGCUACUUCCUUAAUAUCUAAACCAUCUUAGCUUGUAGCCUCAUCAAGACUUGCACAACCAUCCUCAUCAAGCCAUUGGCCUACUUGAAAGAGACAGUUUGUUAGUUAGAUUGCAGUUGUGAAAUGCUCAAAAUUUGAAAUUUUUGGUGUUAUGUUCAUUUUGUAUUAUUGGAAAACGCCAAUGUCAACAUGUCAAACUUUGAGAUUUUUGAUAUUAUAUUCCCUUUAUAUGCAAUGUUAUUUACAGAUUCUAAUGCUUCUGUUGCCAUGAUUUAUAUCUUUUGACUAUUACUUCUUGGGGUAUCUGUGCUAAUAGAAAGUAGUGUAUGAUUCUUUUUUUUACUAUUAUACUUAAUUUUGUUUAUUGUCAAUUUUUUAAAUCAUAAAGAUGGACUAUUGAACUUUCAUACAUUAGGCAAAACUUUAAAAUCUAUUAAUCAAUUGUUCACUUUUUAAUAUGGUUUUUUUUUCUGGGGUAUGUUUCUGUCCUUCAAAUAAUUACAGUAUGUAAUUAGAAGCCUAUGCCUUUAUCAAGGCAAUAUGUUGAACUUUCUUCUCAUUUCUUGUGGAACUUUGGUUGUUUCUUGUCAUCACAUCUGCAACAGGGCUACUGUUAAGUAUUUUGGCAACUACAUCAACCAUACUUGAUCAUUACUUGCAAUGUAAUCCAACAUCUGCAAGAAGCCUGUGCCUUUCAAUGAGGUUUUAUAUCAAUUGUUAAUAAUUGUAAGUGUAAUUCUAAAAUAUUGCUUGUGUUGUUUCCCAGUAAAAGAAGAUUUCAAAAUAGUAAUCCGACAUAAAUAUGCUCAUAAACAUAUUUUUAAAAGCUAAAUCAUCUCAUUACAUUUCAUAAGUCCCAUAACUUCCAUUCCAUUCCAAAGUAAAUAAACAAUGUAAAAGCAUUACAAAUAAUUAUUCUACACUUUAGACCACAAAUUUAAGGACAACAAAAACUAUCCAUGAUGAAAUGAAAGCAACCUUAUAGAAGUACACAUCAUUCUUAGUCUUUUUCACCAACAAUUUAUACCCUCUUAAUUUUUCCUUUUUCUUUGGAAUGUUCCUCACUAACUUCUCUAUUUCAUCCACCUUUAUUAUUUUCUUCAAUUCAGCGUUCUCGAUUCUAAUUUCUCUAGUCUUAAUCAAUAGCAUUUGGAUUUGCUCUUCCAAUUCAUCAAGAUUUCUAUUGCCAUCUUGCUUUUCAACUCAUUUAAAGAAAUCACAGCCACCUUACACCAUUCAAAUAUACAAAUCAAUUUAAUUCGAAAAUAAAAUAUCUCAUUUUAACUAAAUAACAUCAUCAAACUAAACUUCAUAUCAAACAAAACUCAUUUACAAAAUCAACCCUAUAAUAUUAACAGUAAACAUUCAUUAGCCAAUUUUUAGAACAUCUCAAAUUCAGAACAAAACUAAAUUCCUGUCAAAUUAAGCCUUCAACAUAAAAACUCAUAGAUAUAUACAAUUAUCCAACAUUUAUUUAAUCCAAAUAUGGUGCGAAACUAAAACAAAAACAAAACAAAUUAAAAUACGUCUUUAUACUUUGAACAACUAUAGAAUUUCUUCCUUUUGCCCCAAGGGGUAUUUGAAGUAUAAAUCAGUGCUCUUAACCCACAAGAACAAUGGACAACCCUCAACCCACCAUGGCUUUUUAAGCUUACAAUCACAUCUACUACAUCCAGCCAAAUAAGAAAGAAAGAACCUUAAGUUUUUGCUCUACACCAAAAAAAAUAAUUCUUCAGUAAAACAAGAGUUUUAAGAAAAAAUUAGUUCUUUAAACUUACCCUCCUAUCAAUUCUAUAAGGGAUUGAAGGUUGUAAGAAGAUAAUUAAAAGGGUUGAUGAAAUUUUUGAAGUAAAAAGAGUUGUUGAAAUUUUUUAAACCAAAUAGGGUUCGUGAAAUGUUUUGGGGAUAUAUUGAAGAAGUAAAAUUUUACUUACAUUUAAAAAUGUUUUAAUUUUUUUAACUAUUUUUAAAUGAAUUUAUGAAUUUUACUAAUAUUUUGAUAAAAAUAAAUAGAUGUCUAUGUCUCAAGUUGGGAUUGGCUGAAUUUUUUUUCUAAUGGGAAUAACAGUUGGGGUAAAAUGGGUAACGGUUUAAUAGUUUAGGUACUAGUUUUGACCAAAAAAAAGUUUAGGUACCAAUUUGGGAAAACUAGUAUAGUUUAUGUACCGUUUUGUUGUUUAAGCCUUUUAAAAUUUGAAAAGUACAUGAUUAAUGGCCAAUUUAAAAUACAAGGACUAGAUUCACAACUUACAUAUAGUACAAGAACUAAUAACAAAACUGAUGCAAAAAGCCAAAACAACCCCAAAACAUUUAAUAAUAUUGUCAAUCAGUUGAAUUAAUAAGGAGGAGAAGGUUGAUUUGGUGGUGGUUCACCUUUGGUUGGGGCGGAGAGUUACUAGGUAUUCAGCUAAAGAAAUUUUUGAUGUCAUGAGAAGGAGAAUGAGGGUGGAAGGAGGAUGAUAUGUAUGUGCCUUGGCCUCUCUCAGGUAUUGAGAUGAGUAUAUAUACUAGGGGACAAAAAUGCCCACAUCCCUUGACCUCACUGACACUGAAGUUAUACCUUGUUCUUUUGCAGUGACGGUGAUAUGACAUCCUAUGAUAUAACCCCUUAGAUAUCUAGAUAAUCAAUAAGUUUGAAUCUCUAUGUGCAUCCAUUUACAUCUAAUGAGAAUAUUUUUAUAGAGGUUCACAUUCUAUUAUGGUUUGAGUUUCGCUAGUCUCGCCCAAUUAAAGGUUCACUCGAUGUAGACAUGUUAGGUAGUGACUUGCAUGUUGAAGACACAUAGAGGGGCAUGUGGGGAGGUGCAACAAUUGCCCCCCCCCCAAGUGAGGGAAGGUUAUAAAGUGACAUUUGUGAGUUUGUCAAGGUUGUUCAAUAAAGUUGGUGAGGUUGUGCGGUUCGCUUAUAGGGGCUGUAGCUUGGAAAAAGUCCAUACUUUUUUUUUUGGAAAUAUGAAAAUUAUGUUUAUGGGACAUUUAAAAUAUACAAUUUGGAUAUUGAAAAUAUUUUCAAAAUUAUUUAAACUAAAAUUUGAAUUUUAACAUUUAAAGUGGGAUUUGAUUUAGACUUGUGGAGGAAGUUUUAAAAGCAUAUACCGAAUUGACUGUGCUGAUUAACCAACGAUACCAAAUGAAAUGGCAUAAUCAAGCCACAUGUUUUAUUAUAAGUGGAUAAGUUAUAUUGUUUAUGAAGAGAAGUGCGAGAGUGAGGUGCAUGUUAACUUUGCCACUAUGUCUCAUGUAAACUGAAGAGUCAAACAUUCCUAUAUAAAUAGGUGACUUUAAAAAUUGUUUUUGGUUUCUUUAUUUUACUAUUUUUCUACUUCUCUAAAUUUCCUUUGUGUUUUUAAAUUAUUUUGUGUUUUCAUUCUAUUUUUCUUCUUCGAUUCUUACUUUAAUCUUCCUAUAGAUGGCUUGAAGAGUCUAAUCCUUAAAGUCACGAAAAAACUUGAGGAUAUGCUUACUAUGAAUGAAGAAUUUGAGUGUUUAACCACUUUAAAAGAGAUGUGGAAACUGUUAGAGGGUAGGGGAACUCAAUAUUUCAAUAAUUUUAAGUAAAUAUUUUCAAUUUUUAAGUGAACACACCAAUUGAGUGAGGUGGGGUUGAGGGAAAUUGAAUCACCCUAUUUUUUUAUUACCUUUGUAUGUGUUUGAAGAUGGUUUUCAUCUACCUUUUGCAUCUAUUUUUUUGUGGAUGUUUUAAACUCAUUUGAAGUUUCCCAUAGUUAAUUAAUGGGGGCUUCUUUAUGAUGUUGGUAGCUCGCAAAGAAACUAGAGCAAUACUGGAUAAUUUAAAGAACAACAUGCUCCUAGUAAAGGAAAAAUGCAUAAUGAUUGAGUAGAAAUACGAUGGUGAUUUUCCCUUCCCAAUUUUUUGGUGCAAGUUUAGCAACAGCAAAAGCACCUUGAAUUCGGAUUAACAAACAAAUGAAAAAAAAAUUCAAUUCAAACGAUUAUGUAACAUACCAAACUCAACUUGAUAAAUCGAAUCCAAAUCUUGGGCGUUACCGAUUUUAUGCAAUUAAAAUUUAGUUCUACUUAUACAAAUUGCAAUUGAAUACAACUGAUCAACUUUAAAAUAUCUUUAAGUAAAUGUGUAAGUAUAAACCAUGAAGAAAUCUUACUAACAAACAUCGAGGAAUUGUUACAAUUACGACCAAAUUGAGGCCUCAACCUAAUAUAGCUAUCCAGCGAAAAGGUUUCUAUAUAUAUAAAUAUCAACUUAGACUUGAUCUCGCCAUCAAGCUCGCUCUGUAUGUAUAAUAGCCAAAUAUUCCACUUCUACGGCAUAGCCGUGGCGUCGUCCCUUUAGGCAAAGACCCUAAAGCCACUUGAAACAUAACACAUAGAGAUAAGUUCAACGAAACUCGGUGAAGCAAACACCAUUUACCUGAACCAUACUUGCACGCCACAUUUAAUGUUUCAAGAAGUAUCUUGCUACUCUUAUUCUUCCUCAAGUCUCUAACAAAAGCUGCCUCUAUUUGUGUUACUUUAUUCAUGUUUGUUACCAUACAUUACUCUAAGACCAUUCCCUUCUCUUCAAUGCCUUUGAGACCUUACCUACAUUCUCCAUUCACCAGGCCAUAACUUCCUUAAACUUCAGGAAGAGAUCUAUACUCAAGUGAUCGAUACUUCCUUUCGAGUGCAUCAUGUUUACGUUUAUUUCCAGAAUACAUUCUCAUUACUUCGUUAUAUCUCUUAAAAUGUCCAUCUCUACACCAAUCUUAAUCAUAUUGUGUACCUUACCAUAAUACCCAAAGAUAAGUUUCGUACUUACUGAUCUCACUGUUUGCCUUUAGAAAUAAUAAUAAAUAUGCUUAUCAUUUAGUAUAGAGUCUGUAAAAAAAAAGUCCUUCAUGGAUUAUUCUUUGAAGCCUUCCCAGAACAUGCCAUAAGAGUAGAUCAUCUGGUGCGUGCUAUGAAAACUUUCUCUGUAGGAUCUACCAUAAAGGAUAGUCCUUCGUAACCCACCGCAAAGUUAUUUCUUUUAUUCUUUUCCGCAAAGGCUUUAAGUCCAGAAUCCACCUUUCAUAUUGUUCCUUCCUUAUUCAUCAAGAAUUUUAUCCCUUCAGAAUACGUCAUGGAAAUCAUUUCUUUCUUUCAGGGUUCGCCACAAAGGCAUUUCUUUUAGAAGGUUGCCGCAUGGGCCAUUCUUUAGAGUGCGCCAUAAAUGCGUCCUUUCUUCAUUUGCCACACGGUUUCUAUUUUUUAGAUCGCAACAAAGGCUUUCAUCUCUUAGAUCACCAGUAAGGCUUUCAUUUCUUAGAUCGUCACAAAGUCUUUCAUCUCUUAGGUCGCCACAAAGACUUUUAUCUUUCUGGUAUGUUUACGACAAGGAUUCGCCUAGACUCACAUUUGGUGAGGUUCUCCCCUCAUCAUUUUGGGUUAUGUGGAGAACCCCAUUAGCAGCUCAACAUCAUCAGCAGCAGAACAUGAAGUUAACCACAAUAUGAUAACACAGUCCUGAUAUAUAUAUCAAACAACCACAAAGAGUUUGAGUUUAGAACUCACCAACAAAAUACCUGAGUUGAUACAACUUACACCUGUUUAGCCUUUUCUUUAUCACUUGGACCUUGUUUUUCUUGGUCGGCUAAAUAUACAAUCGUAUAAAAAUCAAAAUGAAGAUAUACAUAUGUAAGAAAACUUAAUCCUUAUGCAUGCAGAAGAGUUAUAAAUGAUAUUUAUGAUUUAAACAUCACAGUUUAAAAUAAACUAUGUUGAAAUCCCCUGACUGUCCUUCCUUUUCUUAAAUCGAAAGAUGCGCAAGACUUAAAAAGAUUACUAGAUUGCUAAGUUCUCAAGUAUUUAUUCUACCACCUUAGAUUCUUCCUGUAACACCCCUGACCCGGCCUAGGAGUUUCGGCUAAGUUGAAUGCAUUACAUUCGAUCACCGAAGUGAUCUCGUAAAGCCAUUCUUUUUACUUUGAUUGAAAAUUAUUUUUUAGUUUUUAGGAAAAAUAUUUUUUAAUUUAAACAUAAUUUACCUAGUAAUUUAAUUACAAUAAUAUUAAUGUGAGAUUUUGAAAAAAACGGUUUAGGUUUUGAGGAAAAGAUUUAUUCAAAACUUUUAGUAUUUUAUAGAGCAACGGAAAUCAAAAGAUAAUUUUCUAAACCGAAUGACAUGCAAAUAUUAGAGUAAUAUUUAAAUGUCAUGCAUAAAUAAGGUAACAAAUUCCAAACCUAAGAUUUGUAAAAACGAGAAAGUACUAAAUAAUUACAAACUCAAAAUAAACGAUUAAGGAACAUUUUAAAUAAAACCUAAUAGUAGAACUUCAAUAAAAAAUAUGGCUUUCUAAUCCGAGGGUCCUUCGAUGCCGAUUCGAAACCUAUUUUUUGCAUUACCUGAGAGGUAAGGAAAAGGGGGAAUGAGCUUACAACUACUCAGUGUGAGACUAAUCUUUAAUCAUUAUAUAUAAUCAAUUGAACAGUAAAAUAUUUAAUUCAUAACAUAAUAAUAAUUUAGGCAUAAUAAGAGGAACAUAUAAUAAAUCAAUACAUAUAUAGAAUAUAAUUAUGAUGAACAUGUAAUAAAUCAAUAUAUAUAAUCAUUAUAUAUUGAUGAACAUGUAAUAAAUCAAUAUAUAUAAUCAUAAUAAGGGGGAAUGAGCUUACAACUGCUCAGUGUGAGACUAAUCUUUAAUCAUUAUAUAUAAUCAAUUGAACAGUAAAAUAUUUAAUUCAUAACAUAAUAAUAAUUUAGGCAUAAUAAGAGGAAAAUAUAAUAAAUCAAUACAUAUACAGAAUAUAAUUAUGAUGAACAUGUAAUAAAUCAAUACAUAUAAUAAAUCGAACCGCCCUAGAGUAUUGCUCGACACACCAUCUCCCUUAACAUAUAAUAAUAACUGGCCAUGGUCAUUCACUAGUCAUCUGUGACGGUGACUAUUACUACCACCCCGGUUUGGUCUAACUUUGAUGGUGUUUUAAAACGACCAUCCCGUCUUAUCCGGUUUAGAUGGUUUUACACAUAAACUAUCAUCUCGGUUGACCUAGUUUGGCGGCUUUUUAGCUUACCAUCCUAGCUUAUCCAUUUUGGAUGACAUUUUCGCCUACUUCGUGCAGUACUGACUUUCGGUGUGGACUUAAAUUGCCACUGUCUCCAAUGGGACUCUUUCGUCCUCUAUUCCCAAUUUCAUGUAAUAUGCACAUAUACUCAUCAUAUCAUACUCGUUAUCAAAAUUUGAUACUAUGCUUAUUUAGCACAUUUAUUGUCACAAAUUAUUAUCAAAUUCCAUGCAAUCAUGUAUUCAAUCAAUCUCACAUAUACACAUAUAUUUGGUGUGUGUACAAAGAAUAACAAUGAUGCAUAUACAAGGGUUCGCAUAAAGCAUACAUAUAGUUCGCACAUAGCAUGUAUAUGGUUCGAAUAAUUAAAUAUGUAUAGCUCACCUAUUAAGCAGUUAAGGUUCCCAUAUAAUUUCUAUGGGUUCACAUUACAAUUCCUAUAGUGUUCGCAUGAUAUUUCCUCUAGGUUUGCAUAUUAUAUUAUUCGCAUAACAACUCUUUUAAUUUCCUAACACUACAAUUAAUCACACAUAAUGUUUUAAGUUUAGAUCCCACACCUGAUUUGAAGACUUAAAAACCUUAGCUUUAGAGAGAUUGAUGAUCUACUCAAGAAAAGAGAGAUGGUUUUAAAUUCCUUGAUUGAAAACCGAUUUAACAAUAGAAGAGAAAAAGAAAGAACCCAAGAAUUUGAAAGAAUUUUGCAAUAUGAGUUUUGAAGGAAAAAUAGAGAAUAAAUAGAAAGAAUGAGGAUAAAUUCUAUUAGAAUUUGAAAAGGAGUAAUUUGAAUUCUAGUUAGGAUAAGAAGAUAAAAAGAAAGCUAUGGACUUCUAUUUCUAUUUGAAUUUAUUUAAAAAAUAGAUAUAAUUUCAAAUUAGGAUAAAAAGAUUACAAAAAAUAUGGAAUUUUAAUUCUAUUUAAAUUUUAAAAAAUGAUAAGAUAUGUGAAUUCUAAUUAGGAUUGGAGUGAAUUUCUAAGGUUUAGAAACGUUUGGGCAUUACUACAAUUUUUCAAAGCUAGAAGUUGGUCGAAUUAAAAGGGGGAGACGCAACUCAAACACAAGUUUAAUGGGAGGGUUGGGGCCUUAACCAAUGGGUUAUUGCCCAAUUCUUGUUUGAUUUUUAUGCUUAAUUAUUCUUAUUUCUUUUUGCUGGAGACUUGGCAAAUUUUCAAAAUAAAAAGGAAAGAUAAGAUUUGAAACUGGGAUCACAAGAGGAAAAGGAGAAUGUUUUACCACUUAAACUAUAUCUUAUUUCAUAUUUACUUUAGUCAAUUAAUUGUACAUAUCAAUUUAGGGCUCAACUUACCUAUUCUCUAUUAGUUUAUAUAAUUACUCAAUUUUUUUUAAGCUUCUUUAACUAUUAUAGUUUUUUUUAAUACUCCCUUAUUUUAGUUUAUAUAUAAUUAUUAAUACACAUAGUCAGGACUCACUAUUAAUAUUUUAUUUUACCUCUUUUCCAAUUAGGUCCUAACACAAUUAAAACUCACUAUUUCCAAAUUAAACCUCGCAAUCUAGUUUCGUUCUAAUAAAAUCUGAUUAUAUUAUCUUAAUACUUUAAUUAAUUUUUAUUUUAUAUUUUUUUACCUUAAUUUUUUUAUAUUCAUUUCAACCCCAUAAUUUUGUAAUCUGAUUAAUCUAACUCCCUAUAUUUUGGGAUGUGAUACUUCCUUUCAUGCAAACCAUUUCUUAGUUUUCCUAUCUUACAGAAAGAACUAGAAAAGAAGAUAGAAAAACAAAAGAAAAAUGAAUAUCAGUAUGAAAAAUCCUUCCUAUAUAUAGUCUUUUUACCACCGCUUCCCUUAAUCCUAAGUUAGUCAGUAUUAUUAACACCCUUAAUCAUAAUGUUUCUCGCUAAUAGAAACUCUUAGUUCUAAUUUGACGAAACUAAAUUUAAAAUCUAACUAUUUACCCAACCAGGCCGUAAGGUUCACAUAAUUACAUUAGAACUCGCUUAAAUAGAAAAUUUUCUAAUUAAGUACUCAGAAUUUCAAAUUUUCCAAAUCUUUAAUAUUUCUGGGUGUGACAAAUAGUAUUUUUUAAAUGGAGAAUUAGAAGAAGAAAUUUAUAUGAAACAACUUGAAGGUUGUGUUGUUUUAGGUUUAGAAUUUAAAGUUUGCAAACUUCUCAAAUCCUUAUUUGGUUUAAAACAAGCUCUUAAACAAUGACAUGAUAAAUUUGAUCAAACUUUAGUAAAUGAUGGUUUGUCCUUUGUUGAAGUUGAUAAAUGUGUUUAUACAAAGUUUGUUAAUAGUGAUUGUAUAAUAAUAUAUUUAUAUGUUGAUGGUAUGUUGAUCUUUAGUACUAAUUAUGAGUUAGUACUCGAGACAAAAAGGUAUCUUGCUUCCAAAUUUGACAUGAAAGAUAUGGGGGAAGAAAAUGUUACAUUGGAUGUCAAGAUCACAAGGAAAUGUGAUAGUUUGAUGUUACCACAAGAACAUUAUAUUGAGAAACUUCUAAAUAAGUUUGGACACUUUGAUGUCAAAUCAGUGGGUCCUCCUUAUGAUACUAGCUCUCAAUUGGAAAAAAUAAAUGUGAGCCUAUUGCUCAACAUAAUAUGCACAAACUAUUAGAAGUCUGACUCAUUUAAUAAAUGUAUGUCGACUAAGAAAAACUCAAAUCAUAAGCAAUGGGAUACUAUAGUUAGACAUGUGAAAUAUAUAGAGACUGUCGUGAAUUAUGGUAUCUUAUUUAAUGGGUUUCCCACUAUAUUAGAAAGAUACAAUGAUGCUUACUGGGUUUCAAAUUCAGAUGAAUAAAAUCCACUAGUGGUUAUAUGUUCACCCUUGGUGGUGGUGCAAUAUUGUAGAGAUCAGCCAAACUAUUAUAGCAAAAUUUAUCAUGAAGUUUGAGUUUCUUGCUUUGGAAUCAACUGGUAAUGAGCUUGAGUCGUUGAAAAACUUCUUAGCAAAUAUUCCAUUGGGCACACAGCUAAUAGCUUUUGUGUCCAUGCAUUGUAAUUUCCAAUCAACAAUAACCAUUGCAAAGAAUAAAACUUUCAAUGGAAAAAAUAGACUUAUUCAUCUAAGACAUUAUGUGAUUAAGAAAAUACAAAAUGGAGUAAUAUAAAUUGUUUAUGUGAAGUCAAAGUUGACUUUGGUCGAUCUUUUUACUAAACCCUUGGGAAAGAAACUAAUAAAUGAAACAUUGAGGGGAAUGGGACUACUGCGAAAGGAUGAGGUCAACAAUGAUGGAAACCAACCUAUGUGAUUGGAGAUCCAUCAAUUAGGUUCAUAUGGGUAAGAACGAAGUCAUUAGUAGACCUGUUAAGAACUAUAAAACUAUGUCUCUCCUAUUGUGCAAAUAGUGCUAAAACAAAAACUACAUGGAUGGUGAAGAUGAGUAAAAAAUCUUAAUCAAAUCCAUAUCAUUUAUAGGCAGUGUAUUGAUUUGCAGAAUACACUUGAUGGAUUGAUCUAUACGAUUGUGAAGUAGGACCGAUUCUAUGAGAUUUAUGACAGAAUUUCUAGAGCACUCAUGAAAGUUAAGCACGCGCAUGACCUAGUAGCACACAACCACGCUGAAGAACGAAUCAUAGAUAGAAUAUGAUAAAUGGAAAUGUUAGUUUACAUAAUGAAUAAUUGGUUCAUACAAACUUGUUUCACCAAUUAUUUAAUAAAUUUUAUCUCAUUUGUCAAAAGUUCUAGUUCAUAGUCUAAAGGAUACCAAGAUUAUUGCAUUGUAUCGAAAUACGCAACUAAAAUUCUUUCAUAAUUCUUUGAAAUAUGUGAGGGAUUGUUGGGAGCUUUUAUGUAUUUCAAAGAAUUCCACAAUCCCAAAUCUUUUAAAGAAACCUCUUAAGAUGAUGUUUUAUAACAUUGCUUUACAUUGGACCUAUAAGAGCCAAAACAAGAUGGACACGUGCGCACGAAAGGUGAGCCCAAAAGCUCAAUUCAAAUUAAAUAGGCUGAUUUCCCCUGCGCAUGAUACUAGGCCCAAUUAUGGCUUUGCACUUCCAACUCACUCAAGUUCUAAUAUCUUUCAUCUUUUCUUUUAACAUUGUGUUUUCCUCUCCUCUCUUGACACUCUUUGUUUUUUUAAAGCUUUUUUCUCCCUCUUUCUAGCUUAGUAUUUAAUUGAUUAGUUCUUCAUGCUCUCUAUUUUCCAACGAUUGACAAAAGUGGUUGUUGAAUAUUGGGGGAAACACUACACGACGAAAUAUCCUUAAGGAAAGUGUCCAACAUGUCUCAAGUUAAUCAACUCAUAUUCUUGGUUCCUUAAAUUGAUGAAUAUUUUACAAAAUUUUUCACAUGUUUAGUAUAUGAGUUAGCAAUAAACUAAUUACAAUCGGUAAUUUUUAGCUACUCACAUGACUUGUUUCAAUUUUUUUUUGAACAUUAAUCUCAUUUUAGGUUUUUAUUAUAUCUGUUCUUUUUUAUACAAUGCUUAGAACUAGUCAUAACCCCUCCUCCCCAACCCUUAAAUAGGAAGAUGAUACGCUUCAGCGCACUCAAAUUUACGUCCUCCUACACUGACAACAAUAUUGAUGCCAAUCAAGUUAAAAGCCAGUCGAGUUAAAACUCAAUUGACUUCUAUUUUCAAAUUUAAAUAUGUUCUAAUCAUUUUUUAUUUUAUAUCUAGAUAUUUUAAUAGCUAUGUAUUAAAUAAGUUUUUUUACCGUCAUAGAUUCUUAGUGAACUUUAUAUAUAAAGUAAACUUACGUCGUAAUGUCUUGGCAAAAAGGGAAAAAGAACUAAUAUCGUAAACUUUAAUUUAAGUAUAUCAAUCUAAUUAUAUAUCACUUUUUAUUACUGAUAAAAACCAUGCAAUUCAAGUAUAUAUAUUACAUAUAUACACAUCAGCAACACGAGAGAGAAGAUGGAUUUCUUCUUUGAAGUGUCAUUGUUGUUCUAUCUUCGUCUGCAAUUUGUGUUGUUAGGGUUGGUGGCCUAGGAUGGGGACCAUUUUAAUAAGCUCCUAUUCUCAUGAUGUGCAUGCAAAUCAGUCUAUCCAUUUUUAAAAAAAAUAUAUUUUUCUAACUUUUUUGUUGAAAAAAGUAUAUUAUCUCACUUUCCUCACUAAUCUAUCCCUUAUCCAUUUACAGUUGGGUGCAUGCACGAAUCUGUUGCACCAUAAAAUAAUAUUACUUGAUAUGGAAGUGUUGAUGCAAGAUGUCGCGUCAGAGGUUGGAGGAGAAUUACACAAUGUGUUGAAUGACGCAAAUGAUUGUUUAGCAAUGGAGUGAAAGCUUGGAGUCUUCUUAAUGGUGGAAAAGAUCGCACCUUCUAGACCAAUGUCAUACUAUGUAGGGUGAGUUGGAGGGUGAUGCAGAGCUCUAUUAAGAUGUAAUGGGAUGUACCGAGUUAUACUAUGGUAAUAGAAUUAUGGGGUUUUUAUUGCACGUAAAUUUGAAUGUAAUAACAGUCAUCUUUGGAUAAAUAUUAAUAUAAUUUAACGGGAGUCUACAUGAUAAAUAUGUAAAAUUUUCAUUUAAGAGAAUCUUUAUAUGGACGAACUCUUUCCUAAUUAAAGUGGUUAACCUAAUGAGAUAUCACGGACGGAUGAUAUAGAUAUAACAUGAAGCAAUAGUACUAUAUUACUCUACAAGUUGAUAUGAAGAAAGGUUUUGUUUUAAAAUAAAAAUUGAUGGAUAGAAAUGCUUCCACGCCUGCCUCUCUCUAUAUAAAACCUUGCAAGCAUUGAAUCCAAUGGCAAUGUAUAUUAUAUAAAAAUUAGACAGUGAAGGGUGCUCGUGAAUCCUCACGGGGUUGCAAUAUUCCAUACCUUCUUUAAACGGCCAAAACACUGUCUCAAUAUGGAUUGGCCAUCUUUUUAUUUUAAUAAUAUGCACGUCCUUCCUCCUCGUGUAUGUAUUCUUCCCCCCAAUAUAACAUUUGACCUCGCUAUCUUCCCUUUCCAAAUCUCAGCACAACCAUUUCCCUCCUAGUGGUACAAUUUGCUAAUUAAUUUAUCAGGUUAUGAUGAGAAAAGAAGUGAUUCAAUCUAAAAAAGAAAUAAAGGGAAAUUAGAUUACAGAUAUUUUAGACUGUAAAGUGUAAAAUUGAACAGCUACAAGCUCUAUAUAUAGUCUUCCAAUUCAAAACCCUCCUCACUGUUCUCUUUUCCUUUGAUAGCAAAUUUCCAAACCAUUAAAGAAUUUUCAAAUCCCUUCUCAGCCAUGGUAUGUUAUAUUACAAUUAUACAUUAUUUACUUCUUAUUACAACUAUCAAUUAGAUAAGUGGAGUUGAUUUUGGGUCACAUCAUUUUGAAUCAAUUUUAAACUUUUUAAAAUAAUUUCGAGUUUGCAUUGUUUUUGACACUGAUGAUUUGAGUUUAAAUUUCUUGAUUUUCAAGUGAAGUCAUUAUAAAUUUGAAUCAUUUUAGAUAAUUAAAAUUAUUUUAAGUUCAUCAAUUCACAAACUAACUCACUUUUUAAUUGAAAUUUAAAUUAAUCAAGAUCAAGUAAGAGUUCAAAUGUCUUCUUCUUAUAAGUACAUUCAAAGCUUAAUUUUCCUCAGAAUACUGAGCAAAGGCAUCUCAGAAAGGUGGUAUCUGAUGUUACUUUGGAAAUGGAGAGGUAUAUAAAGACAGCAUCUUCUUCAACAGAAAUUGACGAUGAGGUGAAGCAAGCCGAAUGCGAAUGUUGUGGGCUCGAAGAGGAUUGCACCGCCGAUUACAUCAGGAGAGUGAAGGGUCGGCAUUGCGGGAAAUGGGUGUGCGGGCUGUGCUCGGAAGCUGUGAACGAAAGGCUGUACCGAAGUCCCAUGGCAGGCACGGAAGAGGCAGUGAGGUGUCAAAGGGAGUUUUGCCAGAGAUUCAAUAGCACCACGCGGCUCAAUCCCAAGCUGUCCCUCACUUGCGCCAUGAGGGAUAUAGCUAAAAGAAGCAACCAGAACCGAAGCUCCAACACACCAAAUAAGAUUGGCAGAAGCAAUAGCUGUGUCCCCAAGAUCAAUCUUAAUAACCGUUCAUUUUAAACUUUACCAACUAUAAUAGUACCGUCAAUAAAUCAUAUAUGGGUUUAUUUUUAAAAUUUUUGGAUUUUACCUACGAAGUUAUACAUCUUGUGUUUAUUUUUACAUACAUAAAUAAAUUAUCCAAAGGGUUUAAUACACAUUUAAUAGUAUCAAUUUUGUUGAAAAUUACUAAACCUUGCAUAUCUAGAAAACUUAAUUUAACAUGUAAUUUCCUUUUGCGGUGAAUAUAAUUAGUAAGAGAGUUUAAGGGUUGUUUAAAAAUACCACAAAGUGAUAUUUAAGUAAUUGAAUCGAGGAGAGCUUUAUUUAUAUCUCAUUUCUGACUCAAAUAAUAUUAAGAGAUAAAUGCAUAAAAAAAAAAACUCAUGGUUAGGAAUGGGAACCGGAUGAUUUUUUGCAUGCCUUAAUCUUCACCUAAUUUUCACUUAUAACUACUUCAAAUUGUCUUCUCCCAAAUGAUUUUAUAAAAUGGUAAUAAAUAUAUAUAUCAAGGGGGUUACCUAAACUCAAUUCUGACGUAACUUCAAAAUUUUGAAUGCAGCCUACCCAAACCCGAAUUCAAAAAAUAAAACUAACCCCAUAGGAUUGGAAAAUUGUAGUGUGUGCUUACCUAAAUUUUGAUAUAAUUUCAUUUUCCCUGCAUAGAGCUCAGCAAAGUGGAACUGUUGACACCAUUUUUUUUUUGAUAAAACAGGAUCGACUUGGAUUUUGAAAAUGAAAACGAAUAUGGGGUUGCCACCAAUCCUUUUUGAUGAAGUGUGAUCGGGUCACCUUAGAAAAUGGCUAUUUUUAAUAAACGGUUCGAUUUAUUAAAAUAAUGCUUUUUGGUCUACAAAAUUCAAAAAAACGGGUUCGGGAGUCGGUUACGUACGAGAAAGGAUUAGCACCCUUGUAACGCCCAAAAUUGGUACCUAGUUGAUUAAUUAGUGUCUUAGUGUCGAGAAUUGAAAACUUUGAAGAGAUUUGAAAUACGAUCCUUGUAUUUAAAAAAAUUUGUAUAAAUCAAAUUACAUGUUAAGACCCUCUCAUUUCGGAGAGAGAAAAUGUCACACCCAAUGAGUUAGGGCAUGAUAUUCCACAUCCUCAAAAAUGGGCUUGUCAUUAAAAAAACUCAUAUAAUAAAAUUCAAAAGGAUAUUCAAUUGUUUAAGUAAAAUGAAGAAAUCGUAAUCCAAUACGUUAGGGCACAAUUUCUCAAAAUUCUAAACAUUGAAUAUUGCCUUUAUUUUUUUUUUUAAAAUUCUCACCUCAAGAAAACAACGUUUUAUAUCCAAUGUGUUAGGACACAACGUAUUGAAUUCCCGAUAAUGAGAUUUUUAUUUAUGUUUUUUGAUUAAAGAGCAUUCUUGAUUAUUUAGAUUCAACGAAGAAAAUUGGAACCCAAUACGUUAGGGCUCAAUCCUCUCGAAGAUCCCAAAUACCGAGUCUUGCCUUUAUUUUCAAAAUUUUCUCUUUUUACGAAUUUGAGUAAAAAUUAGUGUAAUGGAAUAACAAUGAUGCUAAUGUAGGUAAAAUAACACGAGCAAAAACAAAAGAUAAGUAAAUGAUAAGGCCAAUAUAUAAAAAAACAAUCACGUAGGCACAAUAACAAAUAACAACAGAUAAAAACUAAAGCAUAAAAAAUAAUAAUAACGGACAUGUAAAUAAAUUAAUUAAUUAACAAAAUGAACAAAAUUAUAAAAAAUAUAAAAGACAUAUAUAUAUGUAUAAAAUUAUGGAAAUAUGAAAAACAUGUGUAUGUACACAUAUUCUAAAGCUAUUAUACAUGGAAAUAUGUGUAAGUAUGUAUGUACAUACAUAUAUACGUAAAUAACAAUCAUAAAAUAUAAAAAAAAUAUGUGGGUAUAUAUAGGAAUCAUAAAAUAUAAAGAAUAUAUACAAAAUAUAUAUAUAUUAGAAGUAUAAAGGAUAUGUAAAUAUAUAUAUGUAUUUAAAGUUAUGAAAUGUAAGAAAUAUAAAGGUAUGCAUACAUAUAUAUAUGUGUGUGUUUAUAAAAAUCAAAACCUAUAUAGAUAUGUAUUUAUUACGUAUAUAUAUAUUGUAGAAUAUAUAAAUAUAUAUAUGAAAUAUAAAAUAUAUACAGAAGAAAAAUAAAAUAUAUACAGAAGAAAAAUAUGGAUUGUAAAAAGAAUAUGUAUAAGUACAUGUAUAUAUACAAGUAAAGUAUGAAAAUAUGUGUAUAUAUGUACAUAAAUUAAAAUGUGUAUAUAUAUAAAUUAUAAAGUAUAUAUAAAAAAAAGUAGGUAUAUAUCAAGGAUGUAUAUUUAUAUAUAUGAUUAAAUCUAAAAUUAGAUGGUAAUAAUAAUAAUAAUAAUGAUAGUAAAAGAACAAAAUAAAAAAAAUUAGGGGACAGAUUUUAAAAUGACAUAAAAAGAUAAUAAAGGACUAAAGUGAAACGCGCGUCAAGAAGGAGGGACUCAUCGCGCAAUAUCCCCAUUCUUUAUACGCAUCAUUUUGCUCAGGAUUGGAAUAGAAUAGAUGCAAAAAAUGGGGUUAAAUUGAAAAUACUAAAAAAAGGGGAAAAUGACCAAAUUGAAGCCAAUCAUAAAAGCGGAGGGAUCCGCAGCGCAAAUAACCCAUUCGGUCUUGAAACGCUCGGAUCCUCUGCUAAACGGGUCGGGUCGCUGGUCGGCCUCCCCAAAACGACGUCGUUUUGCGUCUGGGGAGGCCUCCCAAAACGCUGCUGUUUCGGCUUUCUAUUUAAGGCCCCUUUUCUUUAUUUUUUUUAUUCAUUCCUUCCUCAUUAAAAAAAACUGCAGAACUCUCUAAUGCUCUCCAUUCCCUCCGACGAUCGGGCCUCUCACCGUCGUUCGCCUGUCCGCCACACCGCCACUAAAUCGACAGCUGACGAAGCAUGAGAAAGGGUUUUUAAAGCCUGGUUCUAGGCGAGCUGUUGGGUCGAGCUUUUGAGCCCCACAAGGACCGAGACAGAGGCCCACGACCCUACCUCUUCGAAUCUGGUCUCGACAACGGAGAUCCGCCCUCCAACGGCGGUCACGGGGCAUCCGGUAAGUCUCUUCCUCUCUUUUUAUCUCAUUAUCUAAUAUAAAAAAAUCAAAAAUAAAAUAAAACAAGAUAAAAAAAUGAAAAAAAAAAGCUUAACCUCUAAAAAAGUCUUUUAUUUUCUGAUGUUCUUAAAAAAAGAGAACCCCUUACAUGCCACUGAUUUGGGCUUUUAUAGCCGCUUUAUACAACAUUUUGUUUCUUUUUUUUUUUGCCCUAUUUUGCUUUCUAUUGUUGCGUGUUUCCUUCUCUUUGCAGGUAAUUGAUGGGUGGUGGCAGUGAGUAGGUGGAGCAGAGGGCAGACAAUGGGACGUGACAUGCGGCACACAUGGUCCUGGUGUGCAGCGCUGGAGGAGGGACUAGGGUUAGGGUUUCAGUUAUGUUUUACUGAAACUUAGUUAAUGUUUUGGGCCGUCGGACUUUGGGCUUGUAACUUGGGUUUUUUAAUUUGGGCUAGUAUUGCAAUGUGAACUGGACUAUUAUUUGGGUUUUAUUAUUAUUUUUUGUUUUGAUUCUUUGGCCCCGGGCAAAAAUGGGCCUUUACAGCUGCCCCUCUUGUCUCAUUCUCAUGUAACGAGAAUGGAGCAAAGGCUUCAAAAGGGCCAAUUUUGCCCAGUCUCACCGAGUCUUGACUUCUUCUAACGCUUCUCUUCUUCAAGUAGCCUCAUUCCAGUCCACUGUGUCUUUUCGCUUCAAUCCACUCAAUUGCACUUCAGGGAGAUCUAACUUGUAACUUCAAUCUUCUUCGCAGCAACUUCAGGAGGACGAGGUUUUGGUUUUAGUCUGCUCUACUGCAAUGUCAGGGAGAUAAGACUUGUUGCUUCAAUCUGUUCCACUACGACCUCAAGGAGAUAAGGUUUGAUAUGAUAAGAUUUAAUCCGACCCUCUGCGACUUUAAAGGUAUAGGAUUCACCGUUUUAAUCCGCUCCACUGCAACUUCAAGGAGAUAGGACUGGACUCGAUCUGCUCUACUGCAACUUCAGAGAGAUAAGAUUGGUGUCUUCAACCUGUUCUACUGUAACUUUAGGGAGAUAAGGUUUUCAAUUUCAACAUGCCCCACUGCAACCUCGGGAGGAUAAGGUUUGAUAUGAUCUGCUUUACUGCAACUUCAGAGAGAUAAUAUCUGCACUAUAUAGCUUCAAUCUAUUCCACUGCAAUAUCAGGGAAAUAAGAUUCGCUAACUUCAGUCUGCUCUACUGCAACUUCAGGGAGAUAAGACUCGUGGCUUAAAUAUGCUUCCCUACUACUUUGGGAAGAUAAGAUUCGUCGUCUUCGAUCUGCUCCACUACUGCUUAGGGAGACAGAAUCUGCAAUCUUCAGCCUACUCCACUGUUGCUCAGGGAGAUAAGGACGAUGCUUUCGAUCUACUUCACUGCCAGUAUAGGAAGACAAUAUCUACAAUCUUCGACCUACUUCACUACUGCUCAGGGAGAUAAGGCUAGUGGCUCAAAUCUACUUCUUACUAUAUUGGGAAGAUAAGAUUCACAAUCUUCGAUCUGCUCCACUACUGUUUCGGGAUAUAAGAUCUACAAUCUUUAACCUACUCCACUGCUGCUCAGGGAGAUAGGACUGGUGGCUUAAAUUUGUUUCCUACUAUCUCGGGAAGAUAAGAUUCGUAGUCUUCGAUCUGCUCUACUACUGCUUAGGGAGAUAAGAUCUACAAUCUUCAACCUACUCCACUACUGCUCAGGGAGAUAGGACUGGUGGCUUAAAUCUGCUUCCUACUAUCUCGGGAUUAUAAGAUUCGCCAUGUUCGAUCUGCUUCACUACUGUUUAGAGAGACAGGAUCUAUAAUCUCCAACCUACUCCACUACUGCUCAAGGAGAUAGGACUGGUUUCACCAAUCUGUUCUUUGGGGAACAUGACCUGUAAGAUCCCUUUCAUGGGUCUAUUUAUGCCUAGUGAUUAGGAUGUUAUGAUAGGAAUGAAUCAAAAUCUCCUAACUAAAUGUGCAUGCAUGAAUGCAAAAUGUCAUGAAAAUGAUCUUUUCAUGUUUGAGUUGUUAUUGCUCGUUAUUCAUUAAGGCUUUAUUACCAACACGUCCGAACGUCAUCUUGUUUAGUUGGUAACACUCACAUCUUACUUAAUCGGAUUGCCCCCACUGUAAUCUUCAAGGUUCAAUCCACUGUAAUCUUUAAGGUUCAAUCCACUGUAAUUUUGGGACAUAAAAUUUGAACCAUCCUCCUCCCACUGUAAUUUAGGAUUAUAAGAUCUAACUCUUUCUCAAUCCUCUCCCAUUGCAAUUUAGGGAUACAGGAUCUGAAUCUCCUUGGUCUCCUACACAAUUCCCAGGGUGCCAUACCAAAUGUUUAUGCACAAUUGUAAAACCUUCUCUUCUGAGAAACCUCUUCUUAUCAAUCGGUGAUCACUGCUUGUUUGUUCAUUGAAGCUUUAUCACCAACACAACAUCUUGUCAUUUUGUUCAACCAAUGUUUUGACAACAAAAUUCGAAAGGGUAGUCUUAAUUUAAACUUUCCUUCUUAGACAUUUCAACCUUUAAACUUGGUGCGUUCUAAACAAUAGUCCUGUUUCAGGUUCCUGUAUUAUUUAGAAACUUCUAGGGUAAUAUGCAAAACUUCCCUUGUGAAAGUAUUAUUAGUCCAUUAAUCACUAAUCCAAUGCAACAUACUUGAAAAAAGAUCAUAACAAUGGAUAAAAAUGAAAUUGAUUUAGGAGCAUAACUCGAAAUGAAUAAAUUAUCAAGAAUAAAAGAGGAAUUGAUUGGGAACACGUAUCUUGAAAAAGAAAGAAGUAUUCCAAGAACAACAAAUUCAAUAUAAAUAGUAUGAAGAUUAGGUGCCCCAGAUAUCGCAGCUUGAAUUUCUCUGUAAAAACUUUUUGAAAGACCAUUCUGAGUUUGAUAUGUGUUUAGGAGAUCUAUAAGACUUUGUCAAUGCCCCAAGAUGUCGCUUACCCUUUCCUAUUGAUUCAGGUAUAACAAGAUCACCAAAUGCCCUAAUCUAAUCAAAAUUUGAGUUGCUCUGAUCACCUCAUGCCCCAUUUUGAUCCAAAAUUUGAGCCGCUUUGAUCACCUCAUAUCCUAUUUUGGUCAAAAUUUGAGCUGCCCUUUUCAAGUUUUCAACUCAAAUCCCCUUUGGUCUCAAGGCGCCCUUUACGGGUUUUCACAUUGGCUUCUGCUUUUCUUUUUCUUUUCUUUUCUUCUUCUUUCUUUUUUAUUUUUCUUUUUUUUUUUGUUUUUUUAAACAAUUUUUUAUUGAAUCUGAACUCAUAGGAUUAGGCAUGUCCCCGUUAUCCCUUCCGAUCAAGAUUGACGCUUUUCCAAAUAAAGCCUUCCAUAUAAGGUCCUUUCCAGCUUGGCAUAAAGUUCUUUUUGUAUAGGAAGGAUCUUCUUCAAUACCAGGUCUUUCUCUUGGAAUUCUCUAAGGCGAACUUUUUUUGUGAGCUCGCAUCAUUUACUUUUGGCUCAUUUGACCAUGAUGGAUAACUUUCAACAUUCCUCUUCAAUCGGGAUUGGAUCAAAAAACUCAGAGAGAAAUAAUCUUUUCUUCAAUAGGCAAAACCGCGAUAGGCCCAAAAGAACGGCAUUACCACGGCAGAGUUUUUUUUUGUGUUUUACCUCCAAUGCUCUGUUCACUUUGGGACAACAUAGUGUUAUUUUGAAUAGCCUACAAACUUCUGAUAUCGUGCUAUUGUUCCGGUUACAAUGUCGGUGCUUAACCCGGGUAUGACUAUGUGAAGAUAUCUUUGAACUCUUGAAGUAACUCAAUAAGGUCUUACUUCGUUUCUUUGGUUAUGCAUGUUCUAAUUUUUACUAUUUUUCCCUCCUCCAAGGUCACAAUCUCCAUUGUCUCUUCAUGAGGUAAAAUUUGUUUCUCUUCUUGUUUUAUCAUCCACAACAAGUCUGAAAAUAGGCUACAAUCUAUGUCAUCUUCAAAAUCAUGAGAUCCCUCUAAACACAUGUCUCACUCAAAAGGCGGAUAUCUAGCAAGGUCCCUUCUUCAGUUGCUUUUUUCUUUCAUAAAUAACAUUGGUGUGAACAUUUCCCAACUUCUUCAUGUAUUGUAUUCACUAUAUUAUCAAUCAUGAUUGGGUAGCAGAUUUUCUGCACUGGAGGAAUCAUCAAAUUUGAUAACGCCCAUACUGAUAAGCCUUUCAACCACUUUUUUAAAGGUAAUGCAAUUUUCUAUGGAAUGCCCCGUAAUUCCUGCAUGAUAAUCACAUUGCGCAUUUUUUUCGUACCAUUUGGGGUAUGGAGGUUGUAAAGGCUUCAAGUAAAAAGGGGAGACAACAUGUGCGUCAAAUAAACUCUCAUACAACUCUCGAUACGACAUUGGGAUUAGUGCAAAUUGAGACUUUUCAAUGUUUUGCUGUGUGCCAGAUUCUUGUCUUGGAGGGAUCUGAUGGCCAGAAGUAACCAUCCUUGGUUGGCUUGCGGUAAUCAGCUUUGAAUAACCCUCGUUAUACCUACUUGCAUCAUUCACCUCAUUUUUCCUCUUCCUCGAGGCAUUCAAAGUAUUGAUUUGAGGGCUCCACUCUUGCCCUUUCCAUUUGUAACGAUCUACAAAUUGUUUUGAGAGCUCCACUCUCGCCUGUUUUGUUCCCGCUAUAUCAUUAAUGACAACGAGAUUAAUUAGAUUGCCCCUAAGGUUAGAACUUGAGCCUGUCGAGAAAUUCACCGGUGUCGAGGUACUGGUCUGGUAUUGUGGUUGGAUGUUAAGAGUUACCCUUUGUGGAUAUGUAUUUGGUUGUGCUUGGAUGUUUGUUGAGGUAAAGCCUGAAAAAUAAGUAAGGCUUUUAUUAUCAUUUCCAAAAUGGACCGCUGGGUUUUUUCCUUUUUCUAACCCCAUAUCCAAUAACUGGGUUAACUGGCUCAUCAGAUUUCUUUGGACUUCUAGCAUCUGAUCAUUCAUAUCUGGUUAGAAUUUGGUCAAUUGCUAUUGCAUCUGUAUUUUUCUUUGUUCUAAUCUCUCCAACCUUUGGUCCAUUCUUUUAGUUUCUGUUUGGGUAGCGCAAGGGUGUUUGUUUGGUAGGUUGGUUUCCAUUGACUUUGAAAUGAUUUCGUUUGAUUAGGGUAUUUUAGUAAAAUUUGAUGCAUGGAAUGAAAUGUAAUGCAGAUGCAUGAAUGCAAAAAAAAGGCGUUGACUCUGAUUCAAUUCCAUUUAGAAAACUUUACUAAAAAACAAAUUUCUUUACAUAAAACGGAUGCAUGUACGACCUUGCCUUCAUACUCCAAGAAACAAUAUCGAUCCGAAUGAAUCUCACGAAAUGUCACUACUAACUCCUUCUUGCUUGAUCCUGGUCCUGAACCAUAGUCUACCCAUCCUCGUAAUGCUCAUCAGCUCAUUUAAGGAAGUCAGAAUGUCGGAGACCCUCAAAUAGUUAGCUUGAAUCUUCGGGCCACGAAGUAAAGUCAUGUACUCUUUCAUCACCCUUCUUUUGAUGUGUUUCUUGGGAUAUAUUCGGGCAGCCAUAUUAUCUUCCACUUUAUCAAGAAAUUCAUUUUCCAUGACAAGCUUUCUAAUUUAGUAAUCAAAUUUGAAUCAACACCUUUUUUCUAAGAUGAAAAUGCAAUGCAAUUAUAACCAAAACAAAACGAAACGGGUUAGUACAAAGCAAAAGCAAACAAGAAAAAUAGAGUACCUAUUUGGGUAACUACUAAGGGUUUGAAGUGGCUCUACCUAGGGUGGGCUCCUAAGGUCUUCUACAUGUAGUUUGGUUCUAAAGUAAAGGUACCCGAACCAGCAGAUUCCUCGAUCCUCACCUAUUAUAGGCUCAUACGGACCAAGUUCAGUUUAGAGGAAUAUAUUUCCCUAUGGCUGCACGGAGAUAAAAAUCUCACGAAGACAUACGGAUGUAUCCCGAAAGUAAUCUGCUAUCUUGCACGGAGGUGAAGACCUCACGAAGGAAAUAACUUCUCACUCCCACUAAAAAGGAAAUAAUAAAGCGGUUAUGUAAUGCAAUAUGCAGAAACAUAUCAAAAAUAUUCAAACCAAUAGAGUAAUUACAAACCGAAGUAAUAAUCGUAACAAAAUGGAUGAAAUACAACAAAAUGAUCGUAAAUUUAAACCAAGUUUUCAGGUGACCUCUAGGUAUUUGGUGUGGUUCUACCUAGUGUAGGCUCUUAAGGCUCAUUAUAUGCGGUUCGGUUCUAAAGUAAGGGUACUUGAACCAGCAGAUUCCUCGAUCCUCACCCAUUAUAGGCUCAUACGGACUGAGUUCAGUUCAGGGGAAUACAUUUCCCUAUGGCCAUGCGGAGAUGAAAAACUCACGAAGACAUAGGUACGGAUGUAUCCCGGAAGCGAUUCACUAUCCUAUGCGGAGGUGAAAACCUCACGAAGGCGUAGCUUCUCACUCCCACUUAAAAGUUGUGACCCACGGCUAUGCAAUGCAAUAUGUGAAGAUAUAAAAAAUUUAAAAUAUCAGACAUGAUGAAAACUCAAACUCAAAAAUAGAUAAAAUGUAAUGAAAGGAUCAUAUAUUAAAAAUCAAAAUUUCAACUUUCAACAAAAAGACAAAAGUUAAUCAAUUUAUGGUUUGACUCUUUUAUAGUCCCCAGUAGAGUCGCCAAGCUGUUGACACCAUUUUUUUUGAUAAAACGGGAUCGAGUUGGAUUUUGAAAAUGAAAACGAAUAUGGGAGUCACCACCAAUCCUUUUUGAUGAGGUGUGAUCGGGUCACCUUAGAAAAUGACUUAUUUUUAA
rnacentral:lncRNA from 1 species